UCUGUGAGUUCUCUGUACUCUUUCUUCUAAUCCAUCCUUUUUAUGGUGGCUGGCGUUAUCAAGAAGACAUGUUUACCUGAAAUCCGUCUUAGCAGCUGUAUCAGCCACCAUCCUUAUCCAACAGUUGUCACUACCGUCCACGGCUGGGUUCCAUGAAGAGAAGCCAGACACAAGAACCUGCUAGCCUAGAGUGAAUUGGAAGAAUUGGAGCCCUGUGUCUGGUGCACUUCUUCAAACACAGGUUCCAGGUAUAUUCUACAGAUAAUCAUGCACUGUGACAAAGCUUUGAUCUUUGAAGUUUAUUUCCACUGUGGGGGCACAGUCAAAUAUCUAAUAGAUCAACAGUCAACUUCCAUCUUCAUAGGCCUGAAGCCUACAACUCUCAUCAUAAUUAAUUCCUUCAUCCUUGGAAGCAAGAUGAAUAAAUUAUUAAUUAUGAA